rnacentral:lncRNA from 1 species
UACAAUCUUCAUCACAGCAACUGAAAGUUAACGAGCAAAAUAAGCUUCAACAUUGAACCAUGCAUGCUUAAAUAUCUCAAAUAACCAUGAUUUGUUAGUAGGAUUAUAAGUCAAAGCUUUAACAGGGAAAAGGAGCAAUAUAAAAGUGGAUAGAGUAGAAGUCAAUCACUGAUUAUUACAAUCAUACAUUUAGUAUGAAUUCUAAACCAAGUCCAGAAGUUCAGGAGCAUCUCAUUAUGUGGGCACCCAACAAGUGGAAGCAUUAAAAAUGCGGCCCUUCCAACCUUGAAUCAUCCAGUUGUUAUCUUCACUGAAGAUAAAAUCUCUGUGAUAUUCCUUUAACUUAGUCCUAAAUUUGGCCAUUAAUUCCUCCUUCAAUGGGAGCUGCUUGAAACCAGCCCUUGUAUUCCUAACUUGCCAUUGUUUGUAAGUCUCAGGUCUCUGAACCCUGUCAGAACCUUCACAUGCUAUGACAUUCACAGCCUCCCGACCCAAAAGCUCGCUCUCAAUCGUCAACCUCCAAUCGUUUUCACGAGGUAUGACAGUGUCAAACAUAUCAUAAAUAGCAGAAUAAUGGAAUAGUGCCUCCCUAAACCGUGUGUUAAAGAAAGGGACACUAAAUGAUCCAUUAAUAAUGAUCUGAGUAAAGAUAUUCGGAUUUAUCUUCCUGAUCAAGUGUAGGACUGCAUUUCUAGGACUGUUCAAUUCAACAGUACUCUCAUCCAGUAAAUGUUCAAACCUCAUGUGACAGUUGACAGCAACUAUCUCAUUGCUCUCAAUUUUAAGGGCUUCCACCUGAAUGGUUUCCCAGUUCCUUGAUGCUAUGGCAUGGUAUUCGAAGGGAACCUUGUAACGCUUACAAUAGCUAGCAAGACGGUGACCAGUCUCCUCAAUUUUUUCAGUGGACGAAAGCCUGGUUGGGGAAACUCUAUCCCUGUGAUCCUCAGCUUGGGAGGACCACCCUCUCUGUUUGAUAAAAACUUUAUAAGAAUUGGCCACUGGAAACCGUAUAGGAUGCCAAAAUCAAUAAUAUGGACGGUUUCUGAUUUUGCAGCUGCUUCCAUAAUCAUUUUAUUUGCAAAGAAAUAUGUAAACUUCUUGAAAGGGGUGGAAGAUAGAAAAAGUUGGUAUGCCCUCAGGAACUCAGCAGCAGUAAUCCUCUUAGAGUUCAGAAAAGAAAAUAUUUCAUGAGCGCCUGAACCAGCCCCAACCAACCGUGCUUCAAGACCAUUGGCGAAAUAGUGAGCUACCCUCUGUGAUGCAUCCCCAAAGGGAGAAGAGUGUUGCCUAAUCUGCUUUAGUAAUUCAGUGGCAGCUCUGUUGUCAUUGGCAUAUACAGAUUGUGCACACAUCAGCAGAACAUUCCUCAAAUCCACACUUUCCUUCUUCGUCCCUUGUUUCUUUGAUCGUCCCUUCCCUCCAUCUCGCUCCUCACCUUUCACUGCUCCAUUCUGCAAGGAAUUCUGUUCACUACCCACGUUUUCCACACUUAGAAACACCCGAUCAAUAGCAUCUGAAAUGUCACUCUCAUCAACAAGGCUAAGUGCCGAUUGCUUACUCCUUCUCCCUUCUUCUUCUUCUUCUAUCUCUUGCCGCUCGUGAUUCUUCCUUCCCUCCCAUCCGAAGGAAUUAUCUCCAAACGUAUUGACCUGCUCCUCCCCGUUUGAAUGCAGACCAGUUACAAGCUUAGGGCCAGAAGGAAGAAACUUGGUAGCUUCCUCUAACCCUCUCCUAAACUGGGAAACAGAAUCAGCAUCAUUGAACAUAUUUUGUGCCAAGAGUUUGGCAAUAGAAGAAUCCAAAUCUGAGAAUCCAUGACUAAAUGAAGGUGACUGAGAAAGGAUGUGGGGGUUAAACUGAAAAGCAGAAGCAGAAGCAGAAACAGAAUCUGGGGAAGGAAAAUUUUCAUCUAAAAAACUGCUGUUGUAGUUAUUGCUGGUGGUGGUGGUGGUUUCAACUUGGGGGCUGAGAACAAGGGCGUGUUGAUUAGGGGAAAUGUUACCAAUGAGAGUAUCAUAGAAGGACUUCUCGGUAACCUGCAAGGUGAGCGAGUCAUAGAAUGGAUUUUGUUGAACGUUCUCUUCCAUGAGGAUCUGGCUUAUGAACUUGGCAGUUUCUGAGAAGUCGUUCUCUUCCAGUGGAGGAUCCAUUGUUGCAAAACCAAGUGAGUCUGAGAGGUAUGAUAAGCUCUCCUCUUCAUCAAACAGGUCAACUCUGGGAAAGUUGUGCUCCAUCGUGAUAAUCAACAACACUGAAAUGGCUUUUUGCAGUGUUCAGAGAGAGAGAGAAGAAAGAAAAAUGGGGAUUCGUUCAUAGAACAUGAUGAAAACGAAAUACGAAGAAUUCGGUGAGGGAAGGCCAACAGUCACAAAGCCGCAAACAGCAACAUAUGCAGCAGCCCUUUAAGUUUGACUAUCAUGACCAUGAUGAUGACCGCAGUCGUAGGAAUAACUCCGCGAAGCUUCCUAUUUCGGAGGAGGCUGUUACUGUUGUCAAAAUAAUCUCUAGAAACUUAUCUACAUGGGGGAAUAAUAUCUGAUCUAACAUGCUACCUAUUUGAAUGGAUUAAUUAAUUAAUCUAAUCAUAAUAAUUAUUUAUUAUGCAUCCCUUAAUUAUUAUAAGUAAAUACAAUCACACGUUUUUAUGAAAAAAAAAAACAAAUAAAAUUGUUUCUUAUUUCAAAUGAACAAAAAAUUAUUAUGAUGGUAUUACAUGUACUACGUCCGAUCGUGACUAAACACCCUAAUCUGGCCCAGUAAAUUACUGACUUAUUAAAAUAAUAUUAAUAAUACAAAUUCCAAAAAUCAGGUAUAUUAUUACAUAGGAUUCAAAAUAUCGAGUGUCGAAUAUUAAAUCUAACUUGAGCGAUGAAAUGUCUUCUACACGUACCAUCCAAGUCUAGAUUUCGUUAAAACGAGGAGUGGAACGAGUAGAUGUGAGGAAAAAGUUUGCAAGAAGAGAAGAUGAAGUGAAAACCGACUGAUAAAAAAAAGUAGAAAAGUAGUUUCAAUCGUUCUCUAGGUUUAACCGGUUUGAAAACCUUACAUAGCUAAUCUAAGGAAGAAAAUCUUAUUUGUCAUGUAGAGUUGUUUAAAAUUAAAAUAAAUUGAAAGUAAAAUGAGCAUUUUGGAAAUAAAAGUAGAGAACGUCUUCCCAAAAGUAAAUAAAAUGGACGUAAAAUAAAGUUGUAUUUUAUGUCAAAUAUGAUUUUUUUUUUAAAAAGUCUAACAGUUGCCCUUUUAAUUUAUGAUUUUAUUUUUAGAAUUCAAUUAAAUAAUUUUUUUAAAUAGUAUAAAUUUCUGAGUCUAAACAAAUUAUCAAGAUAUUCACAUUUACAUAAAUUCCUCAUUCACAACUUCAUAAUAUGGAUAAUGAAUACAUUUUGUGAUGUAAACUAUUAUAUGAAGAAAUAUAUGAUUAUAAAUAAGAGAGAAUUAAUAUGAACAAAUAUUUUAUUAUAAAUAAGAGAAAACCAUAAAAAAAAAGUAACACAAUAAGUUAAACGAAUACGAAAAUCUUAAAAAAGGUAAUAAUAGAAAUAAAAUGUUGGUGAAGAAAUACAUAGCACAUAUAAUUCUUGUUUUAUAGUAAUUGUGCCAUGACAUUUUUCAUAAAUGAGUUUACAAUUAUAUUUUCAGUCAAAGACAACACUUCUAAUAUAUAUGAAGUGUUAAAUGUCAUUUUUAAAUUUCAGAUUUGUAAUAUAAGUGAAAUGUAUUUUGUGCUUAAGAAACUACAUAAGUGAAAUGUAUUUAUCUUAAGUUUAUUAAAUUUCACCAUAUCUUCAUCUUCGUUGUUCAAACUCAUUAGUAUAUAACUUUUUUUUUCAAGAUGUAUAUAGUUUUUAAACUAUCUAAUUUCUUUUGCAUAUAUAUAACGAUCGUCAAAGUAAUUUAUCUUACCCUAGUAGUUUGAAAUAAAAUUUAAGAAAUAGUCAUAGUUUAAUUCUAAAACAAUUGAAGGUUCCAUAAUAGUAUUAUGAUUAAUUAUACGAGUGGUAAUAAAAAAAAUGCUUUCAUAUUUUACUGAAUGAAUUGAGUUAGACUUGUUUUAGCAUUGAAUUUACAACUUUUUUUUAAAUGCUACACAUUAGUAACACAACUAAUGUACGUUUCAAAUUAUCCAAAUAUAUAUAUAAAUUUUGUUCUAAAUAUCCAAAAUAUAUUUAUAAAUUUUGUUCUAAAUAGAGUGCAGAAAAUAUUGUUGACCUUUAAUAAUUUAUUGACGUUAUAAUAUUUGCUUGCAAGAAUUUUUUAUAGAUUUAGAUGAAAGUUGUAAUAAUUAACAUCCUUGAUUCAAAAUAUCAAUAAAAAGAGUGUUAUAGUAAUUGCAUUAGCCACUGUCUCAAUAAUUACUGGUUAAAUCGGUUAAUCAUUAAUUGAAUCCAAAAAUUACAAUAAAAAUAAUAAGAUGAAAUCUUGGAACUGGAGAAACAAGCAAAGUUUUAGAACUCAAACAAAGGUUUAACUGAGAAAAUAGGAGCUUGGUAGAAUAAAAGGCGGUGAUUGAUUCUUAGAAUCAUACUUUUAGGAUUUCUUCCAUUGGUCUGAUAUUUGGCAUACAAAUAUUAAAUAUAACCAAAAGGUACUACAACAUAAAGCCAUGCAAAUACAAUUUCACAGUUCAUAUUGAAACAUAUACACAAAGCAUUUAUAAUAUGACGAUUACACUUUUCAUCAACAUACUUUAAUUUAAUUCACAACUAUACCACCAAUUAUUUUCAUCAACAUUGUGUUUAGCAAUGCCUAAAACAAGAAAGGAAGAUCUUAGCUUGGAAAAAAAUGUAAGUUAAAUACACAACACAGUGCAUUGAAGGAUCUUUUUUAUGCUUACUCUUGUAGGAUCAUGCAAUUGACUUAAACCAUGCAUAGCAUAGGGAGUAAAAAAAUUCCACCAUUUUUCUACAUCAAAGUGAAUUAUAAAAGACAUUAUGGCAAAUUGGUUUUUGCUUACUCAUAACAAAAGGAUAAUGUGAAGUACAAACUGUUUCACAAAUCAACCACCACAAGAUAGGACAAGAGGAAUGGAAUCAAAUUUUGGAGCCAUUGACAUUGAUAUAAUAUGCAAUUUUGGUUUUACUAGCAAUAAUGACUUCUGUAGUAAAACUAAUUGCUGAUUAUGUUUUUGGUAGGGUUUUCUGGUUUGGAAUUUGAAAUAGUGGCAAGAAAAAGAUACAGAGUACAAUUAGAAAUCACUAUAUCAAGAUUAAAAUUCAAUAUAUCAAAUAAACCAUAAAUGAUUCCCUCCAAAAUUGAUACUUAGUUAAAAUCUGAACUUGAGAUUAUGUUGCAAGUAUUUUGCAAAAUGCUAAAUCAAGUAUAUAUGUACACAACUUUAAUGCAUUACAUUCCCUCAAUCUUGAUUUAUAUAUUUUGGCUAAUUUUGUUUCAACAUUCUAUUAAACCAUUUCGCUUGAAUAACUUUAUUUCAGCUGACCAUCAAAUUUAUUUCAAUCACGUUUGAAUUUUAAAAAAAAUAAUAAAAAACUAUUUGAUACUUAUUUCAAUCAGUAUUUUUUAGAACAAAUGCUUUUGAAUACCUCUGCUGAUAGUGAUUGCCUCCAACAAAGUAACUUCCAGCAACCAUCCUUAAGUGUUUGUUUGUUUGUUCAAAAGUCAAAUAGAAUUAAUUUUAAACAAUAAAAUAGUAAAAUGUGUCUAAAUUGAAUUCAACAACAUUGCAUUGAAAAUAGCCAUUGAUUUAGAUGUAAAACAAGCAAACAGCCAACAGAUUAAUUGGCAGCAUGAAAACAAAUCACAGGGAAAAGCUUUCAGGUCUAAGCAAAGUGAAUAUUAUGGUUCACUUUGGCAAUGGCACGUAAAUAAGAAAAUAUCAUAGCUAGAAGCAUCAAGAGCCAACGUUAAUGGAAAAAUCUUAAAAAAAUUGAGCAACCAAACAGCAUGUAAUUUAUAAGAUCUAAUGAACUUAUAUCUUGUAAAGCACUGUUAAAACUUCAAACUUAGUUUUUUAUGACGCAAAUAAGGCAGGGAAAGAAGGCUAGGAGAAGCAGGCAUUUGUCAGCAUUCUUAUCUGAAUAUUCUAGAUUAUAUUCAAGUAGUAGCAACAGAUAAAAAAUUUGAAGUACUUUGAUCAGUGGAACAAAUUACCCGACAAUUUCAGAGAAGCUAUCGCUGGAAAACAUGACUUUCCCACAGGUUACUGCAACAAAACAAAAUUGCAAGCAUCACCGGAUAAAACAAACUGAACAUUGUCAUCUGUUACAUCUCGUCAAUUCAGUAGCUAAUUUGGUUCAAGAGACAAUGUAUUACAAAUUUAAAUAGAAGGAGGUGAAUGCCUAAUACAUGUUGGUUAGAAAGAAAAUAACUCAAUAUUUUGAUCGCAAGUACUCGAGCAAACAUUUUACAAGGAUUCUACUACUCUAGAACACCUUCCUUAUCAUUAUAGAAAUUGCAUUAUUUUCACAAGUCUAUAACAAGCAAAGUCAUGCCAUUAUUUUACCAAGCAACACGGUGAAAAUUUUGGUAUACAAUCUUCAUCACAGCACCUGAAGGUGAAGCAAGUAGGUACCAGAACCUGAAACAGUGUAACAAGCAAAAUAAGCUUUACCAUUACAACAAGUUGAAAUAUAUCAAAGCUCAAGCAAUAAGCAAGUGUUAGCAGCUAUAACAAGAAUCUUUGACAGGGAAAACAAGAAAUGGGUAGAGUAAAAGCCAGUGACUAAAUCUUAACCUUGAGUCUAGUUUGAGUUCUGAACCCACUUCGGUAACAUUCAUUAUGCCGGCACCCAACAAGUGGAAGCAUACAAAAUGCGGCCCUUCCAACCUUGAAGCAUCCAAUUGUUAUCUUCAUCAAAGACAAAAUCUCUGUGGUACCAUUCCUUUAACUUGGUCCUAAAUUUGGCCAUCAACUCCUUAUUCAAUGGGAGCUGCUUGAAACCAGCCCUUGUAUUCCUAGCCUGCCACUGUUUGUAUGUCUCGGGCCUCUCAAGUCUCUCAGAACCUUCGCAUGCUAUAACAUUCAUAGCCUCCCGGCCCAGAAGCUCUCUCUCAAUCAUCAACCUCCAUUCGUUUUCACGAGGUAUGACAGUGUC